GCUGGGCCUGGUGACACAUGCCUGUAGUCCCAGCUACUUAGGAGGCUGAGGUGGGAGGAUCACUUGAGCCCAGGAGUUUUAGGCUGUAGUGCGCUAUGCCAAUCAGGUGUCUGCACUAAGUUCAGCAUCAAUACGGUGACCUUCUGGGAGCGGGGGACCACCAAGUUGCCUAAGGAGGGGUGAACCGGCCCAGGUCAGAAGCGGAGCAGGUCAAAACUCCCAUGCUGAUCAGUAGUGGGAUUGAACCUGUGAGUAGCCACUGCACUCCAGCCUGGGCAACAUAAUGAGACUUCAUCUCU
rnacentral:SRP_RNA from 1 species